rnacentral:rRNA from 1 species
AACGAACGCUGGCGGCAUGCCUAACACAUGCAAGUUGAACGAGACCUUCGGGUCUAGUGGCGCACGGGUGCGUAACGCGUGGGAACCUGCCCUUAGGUUCGGAAUAACUCCCCGAAAGGGGUGCUAAUACGGAUAAUGUCUUCGGACCAAAGAUUUAUCGCCUUUGGAUGGGCCCGCGUUGGAUUAGCUAGUUGGUAGGGUAAAAGCCUACCAAGGCGACGAUCCAUAGCUGGUCUGAGAGGAUGAUCAGCCACACUGGGACUGAGACACGGCCCAGACUCCUACGGGAGGCAGCAGUGGGGAAUAUUGGACAAUGGGCGAAAGCCUGAUCCAGCAAUGCCGCGUGAGUGAUGAAGGCCUUAGGGUUGUAAAGCUCUUUUACCCGGGAUGAUAAUGACAGUACCGGGAGAAUAAGCUCCGGCUAACUCCGUG